rnacentral:misc_RNA from 1 species
GACGUAGGGGGCGAGCGUUGUCCGGAAUCACUGGGCGUAAAGCGCGCGCAGGUGGCCCGGUAAGUCGGUAGUGAAAACUCGGGGCUCAACCCCGUGCCUGCUCUGGAAACUGCCGGGCUCGAGGUAGGUAGGGGAGAUCGGAAUUCCUGGUGUAGCGGUGAAAUGCGCAGAUAUCAGGAGGAACACCGGUGGCGAAGGCGGGUCUCUGGGCCUUACCUGACGCUCAGGCGCGAAAGCGUGGGGAGCAAACAGG